rnacentral:ncRNA from 1 species
UCGCACUUGACGAUCAUAGGUGUCCUUCGCGACUUAAUAGGGAAUCCCGUGCAAAUCGGGAGUGGACCCGCCGCUGUGACAUCCCUGUUUCCAGCCUGUGCUGGAAACGACGCUGUUGGCCCCGACGCCACUGUUCGCUUUUUCGCGAACGGGAAGGCCGCCAGCAGCCGGAUGAAGCCAGAAGACCUGCCUUUGAUGAAUCGGUAAAG